rnacentral:rRNA from 1 species
GACGGAGGAUGCAAGUGUUAUCCGGAAUCACUGGGCGUAAAGCGUCUGUAGGUGGUUCAAUAAGUCAACUGUUAAAUCUUGAGGCUCAACUUCAAAAUCGCAGUCGAAACUAUUAAACUAGAGUAUAGUAGGGGUAAAGGGAAUUUCCAGUGGAGCGGUGAAAUGCGUAGAGAUUGGAAAGAACACCAAUGGCGAAAGCGCUUUACUGGGCUAGUACUGACACUGAGAGACGAAAGCUAGGGUAGCAAAUGGG